GACGAACGCUGGCGGCGUGCCUAAUACAUGCAAGUCGAGCGGAACUGGGGGGAGCUUGCUCCUUCCAGUUUAGCGGCGGACGGGUGAGUAACACGUGGGCAACCUGCCCUGCAGAUCGGGAUAACUCCGGGAAACCGGUGCUAAUACCGAAUAGUUUGGCGCCUCUCCUGAGGCGCUACGGAAAGACGGUUUCGGCUGUCCCUGCAGGAUGGGCCCGCGGCGCAUUAGCUAGUUGGUGGGGUAACGGCCCACCAAGGCGACGAUGCGUAGCCGACCUGAGAGGGUGACCGGCCACACUGGGACUGAGACACGGCCCAGACUCCUACGGGAGGCAGCAGUAGGGAAUCUUCCGCAAUGGACGCAAGUCUGACGGAGCAACGCCGCGUGAGUGACGAAGGUUUUCGGAUCGUAAACUCUGUUGUGAGGGAAGAACAUGUACCAACUAACUAUUGGUACCUUGACGGUACCUCACCAGAAAGCCACGGCUAACUACGUGCCAGCCGCCGCCGUAA
rnacentral:rRNA from 1 species